rnacentral:rRNA from 1 species
UACGUAGGUGGCAAGCGUUGUCCGGAAUUAUUGGGCGUAAAGCGCGCGCAGGCGGUCCUUUAAGUCUGAUGUGAAAGCCCACGGCUCAACCGUGGAGGGUCAUUGGAAACUGGGGGACUUGAGUACAGAAGAGAAGAGUGGAAUUCCACGUGUAGCGGUGAAAUGCGUAGAGAUGUGGAGGAACACCAGUGGCGAAGGCGACUCUUUGGUCUGUAACUGACGCUGAGACGCGAAAGCGUGGGGAGCGAACAGG